UAUUUGUUUCGAACUUUCGAGGGAUCAAAGAUCACCACCAAAGCCCUAAACUCCUUCGCUCCUUUUCAUACAUCAUCAUCAAUGGCUCUUCACCUUCGUCGCCUCCACCGCGCUCUUUCCCAAUCAUAUUUCCUACUCGAGCACUCUUUCCAUGGCCGCACAGCCAAACUAAUCUCCUCGACCUCCGCCCCUCGGUUUCUUCCAACCCCCGCCGCCACUACGCAGUUCAUGCGGCGGCCUUUCACUUCAACCCCCACUCUAUUCCGCAGGGCAUUCAAUCCGGAGACAGAUGAAAUCAGGCCCGACGCCGUCCUCUUCGAAGGAUGCGAUUACAACCACUGGGUGAUCACCGUCGAUGUCCACAAGGAUUCCAAUAUCACAUUCGAUCAGAUGAUUGAAACCUAUGUCAACAUUGCUGCCCAAGUCUUCGGCAGUGUGGAAGAGGCAAAGAAGAGGAUAUAUGCACUGAGCACAUGUCAAGGUUUUAAGGUUGAGUGUUCAGAAGAGACAUCUGAAAAGUUUAGAAGUAUACCAGCAGUUUCAUUUGUAUUACCAGAUUCAUACAUUGAUCCAGCAAUCAAGGAGUAUGAAGGAGACAAGUAUGUCAAUGGAGAGAUUUUUCCUAGACCACCCACAGUGCAUUAUGGCCCGCCAUCCCAACAGAACUAUGGCCAACCACCACCGCAGCAGAACUACGGACAACCACCACCCCUGCAGCAGAGCUACAGACAACCACCACCACUGCUGCAGAACUACAGACACCCACCACCGCAGCAGAACUAUGGACAACCACCACCACCACCACCACCGCAGCAGUACUAUGGACCACCACCACCACAGCAGUACUAUGGACAACCACCACCACCACCACCACCGCAGCAGUACUAUGGACCACCACCACCACAGCAGUACUAUGGACAACCACCACCACCACCACAGCAGUACUAUGGACAACCACCACCACCACCGCAGCAGAACUAUGGACAACCACCACCACCACUGCAGCAGUACUACAGACAACCACCACCACCACCGCAGCUGAACUACGGACAACCACCACCACCACAGCAUUACUACGGACAACCACCACCACCGCAGCAUUGCUACGGACAACCACCACCGCAGCAUUACUAUGGACAACCACCACUACCGCAGCAGAACUACGGACUAUCACCACCACCGCACAAGAACUAUGCACUACCACCACCAUCGCAGAAGAACUAUGGACAACCACCACCACCGCAGCAGAACUACGGACUACCACCACUGCAGAACUACGGACAAUCUCCACUGCAGCAGAACUAUGGACAACCACCACCGCAGCAGAACUAUGGGCCGCUGCCCCAACAGAACUUUUGGCAAUCACAGCAACAUAAUCCUGGGCCACCACCGUGUCAGAACUAUGCAUCGCCCCAGCAGCAUCAAAGCUACAGACCACCACUACCACCACAGCAGAACAAUAUGCCCAACACACGUGGAGAUUAUGGAAAGUCACCUAAUUUCCCACCUCAUCCAAAGAAUAAUCCAGCGGGACCUGGUAAAAGAAGUAAUACCUCAGGACACAAUGAAAGAAUUUUAGUGCCUUCUUAUCAGGGAAGAUACAAUCAAGCAGAGCCCAAGACCCGUUCUGCAGUUGGACAAGGAAACUUCCAGAGCCAUCCCCAACCUGGAGAAAGAGGAUUUUUGAAGAAGAUAAUUACUGAGUUUUCAGUAGAUGGAGUUUUUGAACAAGCAGAGCCUAAGACCCAUUCUGCAGUGGGACGAGGAAACUUCCAGAGCCAUCCGCAACCUAGAGAAAGGGGAAUUUUGGAAGAAGCUAAAUGCGAGUUUUCAGUAGAUAGAGCUUUUGAACAAGCAGAACCUGAGACUCGUGCUGCAGUCGGACAAGGAAACUUCCAGAGCCAUCCCCAACCUAAGACCCAUUCUGCAGUGGGACGAGGAAACAUCCACAUCCCCAACCAUGACAAAGAGGAUAUUUGCAAGAAGCUAGUUACUGAGUUUUCAGUAGAUGGAGUUUCUGAGCAAGCAGAGCCUGAGAACCGUUCUGCAGUGGGACAAGCGAAGCCUGAAAAAAGGGGAUUUUUGGAAGUAGCUAACUACGAGUAUUCAGCAUUAGAUGGAGUUUUGGAACAAGUAGUGCCUAGUAAGACCCGUUCUGCAGUGGAGCAAGGAAACUCCCACGUCCUCAACCCUGACGAAGAGUAUUUUUUCAAGAAGGUAACGGAAAGGUUUUCACUAGGAGUCUCUGAACAAGCGGAGCCUGAGACCCAUUCUGCAGUGGGACAAGCAGAGCCUGAGACCCGUUCGGCAGUGGGACAAGCGAAGCCUGAAAAAAGGGGAUUUUUGGAAGUAGCUAACUACGAGUAUUCAGCAUUAGAUGGAGUUUUGGAACAAGUAGUGCCUAGUCAGACCCGUUCUGCAGUGGGGCAAGGAAACUCCCACGUCCUCAACCCUGACGAAGAGUAUUUUUUCAAGAAGGUAACGGAAAGGUUUUCACUAGGAGUCUCUGAACAAGCGGAGCCUGAGACCCGUUCUGCAGUGGGACAAGCAGAGCCUGAGACCCGUUCUGCAGUGGGACAAGCGAAGCCUGAAAAAAGGGGAUUUUUGGAAGUAGCUAACUACGAGUAUUCAGCAUUAGAUGGAGUUUUGGAACAAGUAGUGCCUAGUAAGACCCGUUCUGCAGUGGGGCAAGGAAACUCCCACGUCCUCAACCCUGACGAAGAGUAUUUUUUCAAGAAGGUAAUGGAAAGGUUUUCACUAGGAGUCUCUGAACAAGCAGAGCCUGAGACCCGUUCUGCAGUGGGACAAGCAGAGCCUGAGACCCGUUCUGCAGUGGGACAAGCGAAGCCUGAAAAUAGGGGAUUUUUGGAAGUAGCUAACUACGAGUAUUCAGCAUUAGAUGGAGUUUUGGAACAAGUAGUGCCUAGUAAGAGCCGUUCUGCAGUGGGGCAAGGAAACUCCCACGUCCUCAACCCUGAAGAAGAGUAUUUUUUCAAGAAGGUAACGGAAAGGUUUUCACUAGGAGUCUCUGAACAAGCGGAGCCUGAGACCCAUUCUGCAGUGGGACAAGCAGAGCCUGAGACCCGUUCUGCAGUGGGACAAGCGAAGCCUGAAAAAAGGGGAUUUUUGGAAGUAGCUAAUUACGAGUAUUCAGCAUUAGAUGGAGUUUUGGAACAAGUAGUGCCUAGUAAGAACCGUUCUGCAGUGGGGCAAGGAAACUCCCACAUCCUCAACCCUGACGAAGAGUAUUUUUUCAAGAAGAUGACGGAAAAGUUUUCGCUAGGAGUUUUUGAACAAGCAGAUUCUGAUACCCAUUCUGCAGUGGGGCAAGGAAACUUACCAUGCUAUUCCCAACCUGGACAAAAGGGAUUUUUGGAAGAAGCUAAUUACUAGUUUUCAGUAGAUGGGGCUUAUGAACAAAGCAUAAGGGAGACGGAGAAACUUUUCAACUGCUCAAAAUAACUGACCAAGUGAAAGUUUGAAGAUUUCUUGCAUCGACCCCAAGUGUUACGUUUUUCCUCGUUAAUUUGUACAAGAUCCCUCAUCGGUUCACAUUCUUACAACAUUUGUACAAGAUCCCUCAUUCAAAUCACUGAAAGUAGAACACGACUAAAUACACCCACCAAUUCCGGUCCAAGUUUUCACAGCAAAGUCGUCGAUCAGCCUAUAGCAGAGGGAAAACAUAAUCCAAGUAACAGUUUAUUGAGCUAUUCACGUGAGAUCUAAAGUUCUCUUUCUCGCUGAAGGUUAAGGAAACUGGGAAUUUAGUUUAUCACUGUUUAUUUUAAUGUUUUUCGUUCUGAAAAUGUACUUGCAAUUAUGUGCAUACCAUCUGUUUGAUAAAAUGCGUGUGAGACUAAUUAA